rnacentral:rRNA from 1 species
GAUGAACGCUGGCGGCGUGCCUAAUACAUGCAAGUCGAGCGAACGGACGAGAAGCUUGCUUCUCUGAUGUUAGCGGCGGACGGGUGAGUAACACGUGGAUACCCUACCUAUAAGACUGAGAUAACUUCGGGAAACCGGAGCUAAUACCGGAUAAUAUUUUGAAACGCAUGGUUCAAAAGUGAAAGACGGUCUUGCUGUCACUUAUAGAUGGAUCCGCGCUGCAUUAGCUAGUUGGUAAGGUAACGGCUUACCAAGGCAACGAUGCAUAGCCGACCUGAGAGGGUGAUCGGUCACACUGGAACUGAGACACGGUCCAGACUCCUACGGGAGGCAGCAGUAGGGAAUCUUCCGCAAUGGGCGAAAGCCUGACGGAGCAACGCCGCGUGAGUGAUGAAGGUCUUCGGAUCGUAAAACUCUGUUAGUAGGGAAGAACAUAUGUGUAAGUAACUGUGCACAUCUUGACGGUACCUAAUCAGAAAGCCACGGCUAACUACGUG